rnacentral:rRNA from 1 species
CACGUAGGGUGCGAGCGUUGUCCGGAUUUAUUGGGCGUAAGGAGCUCUUAGGCGGUUCGGCAAGUCGGGUGUGAAAUUUCGAGGCUCAACCUCGAAACGCCACUCGAUACUGCUGUGACUGGAGUCCGGUAGAGGAGUGCGGAAUUCCUGGUGUAGCGGUGAAAUGCGCAGAUAUCAGGAGGAACACCAACGGCGAAGGCAGCACUCUGGGACGGUACUGACGCUGAGGUGCGAAAGCGUGGGGAGCAAACAGG